rnacentral:rRNA from 1 species
CAGCAGCCGCCGCGGGAAUACAGAGGGUGCGAGCGUUAAUCGGAUUUACUGGGCGUAAAGCGUGCGUAGGCGGCUUUUUAAGUCGGAUGUGAAAUCCCUGAGCUUAACUUAGGAAUUGCAUUCGAUACUGGGAAGCUAGAGUAUGGGAGAGGAUGGUAGAAUUCCAGGUGUAGCGGUGAAAUGCGUAGAGAUCUGUAGGAAUACCGAUGGCGAAGGCAGCCAUCUGGCCUAAUACUGACGCUGAGGUACGAAAGCAUGGGGAGCAAACAGGAUUAGAUACCCCUGUAGUCCCUGUCUCUUAUAC